GCUGUGUGUGGUGGCACACACCUGUGAUCCAGUGACUCGGGAGGCUGAGGCAGGAGGAUCACAUGUUCAAGGCCAGCCUGAGCAACUUAGUGAGACCCUGUCUCAA
rnacentral:sRNA from 1 species